rnacentral:rRNA from 1 species
AUGGCUUGGACGGCCGCGGCCUCCCUGUGCUGCCGCCUCGUCCGCGCGCCUCCCGUCAGUCGCCGCGCUCGGCGCCGGACCUUGUGCUCCGCCGCGCGGAGCACCGACGCGGUGGACAGGGAGUACGCGGACCUCAAUCUCCGCCCCCUCUACCCCAAUCGGGGCCAUCACCUUCGCAUCCGGCAGCACGUGAAUCCGCUCAGCGCCUUGUUCGUCGAGCCCACGGAGCCGCCUGAAUGGACGGAGGUGUUCCAAGAUCCCCUGCUGCCCCUCAUGGUCGACAUCGGCUGCGGGAGUGGGAGAUUCUUGGUUUGGUUAGCAAAGAACUCCGGUGAAAGGCGGAAUUACCUCGGACUGGAAAUCCGGCAGAAGUUGGUCGAGCGCACACAAUUCUGGGUAACAGAAUUGGGGCUUAGAAAUGUUUACUUUAUGCUUGCAAAUGCAACGGUGUCUUUCGAGCAAAUUGUGUCAUCAUACCCUGGUCCCCUAUCGCUUGUUUCAAUACUGUGUCCUGAUCCUCACUUUAAGAAAAGACAUCACAAGCGAAGAGUUCUACAGACACCAUUGGUAGAUUCAAUCACAAAGAACCUUUGUCUGGGCGGGCGGGUGCUUGUACAAUCAGAUGUGCUUGAUGUGGCUGCAGACAUGAGAGGAAGGUUUGAUGGAUACUCGGAUGUGUUUGAGAAUGCUGAUCGUAUUGAUAAAGAUCUUCAGUGUGACAACGAAGGUUGGCUUCUGGACAACCCUAUGGGAAUACGGACGGAGAGGGAAAUCCAUGCUGAGCUCGAAGGAGCGACCAUAUACAGGAGGAUGUACCAAAAGACAAGACGUUUCUCACCAGAUUACUCCAUCAGUUAA